GAGCUUGCUAUUUAAACAGAUCCAAUGGGAAAGGAAUAUUUUUAUAAACAGAGAAGGCGCUCUCUGUCUCUCUCUUUCAGGCUUAAGGUUACACUUUGGAAACUUCAGAAGAAGUAAGAACUAAAGAGGGAUGGGAAAUGCAUUUUCCCCCCCCAAAUCAAUUCCUGGAGUCGGCUGUGCCCCGAGAAAGCAGACACGUGAUUCCCCACGGUACAGGUCAUACAGCACUUGCUCCGAACAGCCGAGUCCUCGAGUCUGUCCCCGCCCGCGUUUCUGCGUGGCGUGGACCUGUUUCACUUACAGACUAGCAGGGCAGCACAUGGAUUUCUACUUCCUCGUCCACGUCCUCUGGCUGGUUAAUCUGCUGAGUCUGCGGCGGAGAGAAGCCAUUGCUGAGGUCUGGCCCCGAUACUGUGGUGCCCUCAUCAUCCUGGUGAUCUUCCAGCACCUUCUGCAUCUCAGGCUGCCCCCUGCUCUCUGAAGAGGUAACCCACCUGCCCACCACUGGAUCCUUCAAGCGGGGGAAACGCCGAGUUUUGGCAAACGCCGACUUUGCUCUGGACGCGUAGGGUGUCCUUGUGUGGAGGAGCUAGGGGUCCUUCUUGGAGAGGAUUGCUGCCCUGAGGAAUUUCAGGCCGAGGAAACGAUUUGGCCCGACCCCUGGGGCGUCUUGUUCUAGGGGUGAUAACUGCUGUUGACACAGGCCGAGAACGGGGUCACAGCCCCCGAGCUAACCCAGACUUGCCUAGAGAGGAGGGGUUGUCUGACUCUGCCCUGAAAAGCAAAUUAAAAGGGAAAGAGCAAGAAACAGGAGAAGGAUGCAGCUUCCACCUGAGUAUACGCUCCGCUGCCCAAACACUUCCCACCUCUUUUCCCCACAGCCAUCCUGGGAGGGAAAGUCAGUGGGCACCAGCACCCCCACUGUACAGAUGAGGAAGCUGAGGCUGAAGGGAGAGGCGCAUGGGCUGCCCAAGGGCGCGGGGCCGAGUGUGCUGCCUGCCGCCUCCUGGCUGAGGAUGACCCACGGAGAACCACAAGUACAGAAAUGCAUUCGAAACUCAUCAAAGGGUUGUAUCUCCAGACCUGGCCGAGAAGCCGGAUGCCGAUUUGUUACUCUUUGACUUCUUGCUUCUCCUGGUGGCCUCCCUGCAGUGGCAACUGUCUGUGGAUGAGAACACAGCGCCUGUGAGGAUAAAGGCCAGGGACAAUGUGGAGGUCAGCCGAGACCUCCGGCCAGAUGACCUCGCCCAGCUCAGCCCUGUCCCCAACUUCAUCUUCUGCCAGUAAGAACGGAGAUCGUGGUCCUGGACACCACUGGGGGGUGGGGUGGGGCAUCUCCACUCCCUCCCAGCCUCGUGGACAAAAGAAUUCUUCCCUUGGGAGAAGAAAUCACUAUGGUUUUCUUUCCUUAAUUAAAAAAUUAAAAUUGAUGUGUAAUUUACAUACAGUGAAACGUCCGGAUCUUAGUUAUACCAUGCAAUCAGUGCUGGGGUGUGGAGCCAAGACACUGAAGCCUUCCAUCAUCCCAGAAACUUCCCUCCCUCCUCUGCCUAGUCAGUUCUUUCCCCAGGCACCCACCGAUCUGAGUUCUGCAUCACAGGUUCGUUUUACCUACUCCAGAACUUCAUCUAAAUAGAAUUGUAGGCAAUGCACUUUUUGGAGUCUGGUUUCCUUUACUCAUCGUGGUGCUUCUGAGAUCCAUUCACCUUGUAGCAUGUUUCAGUACAUCGUUCCUUUUUAUUGCCAAGUAGCGUUCCCCCUGUAUGAAUAUUCCACAUUGUGAUCAUCCAUGAGUAGAUGAACAUCUGAGUUGCUCCCAGCCUGGGGUUAAUA